GGUCCCCGGGAUGCCCCAGCCCGGAGCCGGAGCCGCGCUGCCCGAGCCAUCCUUCCCCGAGGGGAGCGCGGCGGGGCCGCCCCACGGCAGCAGUCGCUUCUGUCCUCGGCAAGGGCAGGAGGAGCAGCCAUCGGCCGCCGCCGUGCCGCCGGGAACCUGGAGCUGCUGAAAGGACAUUUUGUCAUUCUGGAGUCGGGCAGUGGAGCAGGGGGAUGCAGAUCCAUGGGCAGCAGUGAGGGGCCAGGAGGACACACGGAUGGGGAUCAGAGACCUGUUCCACAUCCCCAGGAUACUGGGGACACUCUGGGGGGCACAGGCCAGCAGGACUCAGCUGUUCCCAAGCACUGUGAGCACGCUGGGGCUGCAUCCUCAUCCCAAAGUCUCCAGGAUCACUGUGUCAGCAUUUGAGGGGUUCCCUCCCCUCGGUGUCCCCCUGCUCCAUCCUGGCCUGCUGAGAGCCACAGCUGGGUGCUGCAGAGGAUGGAACUGGUGCUCAGUCCCAUCAAAUAAUGGCUCUUCAGCUGCCCUGGCCCCGAGCUGCUUCUGAGGGCUCAUCCUGCUGCACAGCCCCUCGGGUCAUUCACACCCCACCUGGCACAUCUCCCAGCUCUGCACUUCGGGGUCUCCUAGAGGCAGAGGGGUCUCAAAGGGCUCCUCAGACAGCAGGAUGGAAGUGCAGGCAGUGGAGCUGCCUUGAAUUGGGUCUGAACUCUUGUUAAGCCUCAUUAAUCAGUUGUAAAUGCACUGUAUUCUCAAUAAGGUCAGAAACAAUAAAUUUAAUUUUGACUCUGA